rnacentral:tRNA from 1 species
GCCUUCGUGGUCUAGUGGUUAUGACGCUCGCCUUUUCAGCGAGAGGUCGCAGGUUCGAAUCCCGUCGGAGGAA